CACGUGGUCAUCCAGGCGGUGCACGUUAAAAGAUAUAAAUGCCCUGCCUGGGUCACCAUGUGAA
rnacentral:pre_miRNA from 1 species